rnacentral:rRNA from 1 species
AUGAACGCUGGCGGCGUGCCUAAUACAUGCAAGUCGAGCGAACAGACGAGGAGCUUGCUCCUCUGACGUUAGCGGCGGACGGGUGAGUAACACGUGGAUAACCUACCUAUAAGACUGGGAUAACUUCGGGAAACCGGAGCUAAUACCGGAUAAUAUAUUGAACCGCAUGGUUCAAUAGUGAAAGACGGUUUUGCUGUCACUUAUAGAUGGAUCCGCGCCGCAUUAGCUAGUUGGUAAGGUAACGGCUUACCAAGGCAACGAUGCGUAGCCGACCUGAGAGGGUGAUCGGCCUCACUGGAACUGAGACACGGUCCAGACUCCUACGGGAGGCAGCAGUAGGGAAUCUUCCGCAAUGGGCGAAAGCCUGACGGAGCAACGCCGCGUGAGUGAUGAAGGUCUUCGGAUCGUAAAACUCUGUUAUUAGGGAAGAACAAAUGUGUAAGUAACUAUGCACGUCUUGACGGUACCUAAUCAGAAAGCCACGGCUAACUACGUG